GAGAAGCGCUUGAACUUGGGAGGUGGAGGUUACAGUGAGCCAAGAUUGUACCACUGCACUGCGGCCUGGUGACAGAGCAAUACUCCAUCUUAAAAAAAAAUCAGUCUUCUCUAUAUUACUUCUGCAUCUCCUUUCUUUUAUACCAAGAACUCUGGUUUUCAAGGACACAGGGACAGACACAAUUAGAAUGUCCAUACUUAUUUGCUUUUCCUGAGUUAACAUAGACAGCAGUCUAAGGAUAAUAACACUCAUACACAACCACCAAAAUGGCUACUGAAAACGGUUGAAAUUCUUUUUACCUACAUUCUCCCUAUUACCUGUGUUCUCCCUUUUUACCUAUGUUCUCCCCCGCUUUCUAGUUGAACUAUGUCUAUAUUAGUUGAUCCUGUACCAUUGCAUAGACUACUUGCUCCCUUGUUAGUCUUAGUUCUGUGAGUAGAGAUAUGUUUAAUGCUCACCAUCAUUCCUUAUGUUGAUAUCCCUGUCAUGUGGUGGUUUUCAAGGUGUGGUCCAUGGAUUCCUGGGGGUCCCUGGGACCCUUCAAGGGGCCUAUGAAGUCAAGCUAUUUUUGUACUAAUACUAAGAUGUUAUUUGCCUUUUUCACUGUAUUAUUUACAUAUUGGUACAGAAAUCUAUGGUGGUCACGUGAAACUGUUAGUGCCUGAGCACAAAUCAAGGUGGUGACACCAAGCUGUACAGGUGCCUCAGGAAGACUUAGGAAAGUGUCUUAGUUUGUAUGAGCUGCUAUAACCAACUACCAGAGACUGGAUGGCUUAAAAACAGCAGAAAUGUAUUUUUCACAGUUCUGGAGGCUGGAGGUCUGAGAUCAGUGUGUCAGCCUGGUAGGGUUCUGGUGAAGGCCUGCUGGCAGCAUCUUCUCACUAAGACCUCAUGUGGCAGAAGGAAAGGGAGCUAUCUGGAAUCUCCCUUAUAAGGGCCCUAAUGCCAUUCAUAAGGGCUGCACCCUCAUGACCUAAUCACCUUCCAAAGGCGUCACCUCCUGGUACUGUCACCUUGGGCGUUACGAUUUCAUCAUAUGAAUUUUGGGACGGCAUAUACAGUCCACACCAGGAAGUUCUUGCACUUCAUAGUCGAAAGUCAGUUUUGUGGCUAUAAAAAUCUUGGUUCCAUUUUCCGCUCUUGAGUAUCUUAAAAAGUUACUACAUUUUCACAUAACUGCUAUCAAAAAGUCUGAUGAUAAUCUAAUUAUUAA
rnacentral:lncRNA from 1 species